GAGAGCUUGCUCUCGGGUGACGAGUGGCGGACGGGUGAGUAAUGUCUGGGAAACUGCCUGAUGGAGGGGGAUAACUACUGGAAACGGUAGCUAAUACCGCAUAACGUCGCAAGACCAAAGAGGGGGACCUUCGGGCCUCUUGCCAUCAGAUGUGCCCAGAUGGGAUUAGCUAGUAGGUGGGGUAACGGCUCACCUAGGCGACGAUCCCUAGCUGGUCUGAGAGGAUGACCAGCCACACUGGAACUGAGACACGGUCCAGACUCCUACGGGAGGCAGCAGUGGGGAAUAUUGCACAAUGGGCGCAAGCCUGAUGCAGCCAUGCCGCGUGUAUGAAGAAGGCCUUCGGGUUGUAAAGUACUUUCAGCGGGGAGGAAGGUGUUGUGGUUAAUAACCGCAGCAAUUGACGUUACCCGCAGAAGAAGCACCGGCUAACUCCGUGCCAGCAGCCGCGGUAAUACGGAGGGUGCAAGCGUUAAUCGGAAUUACUGGGCGUAAAGCGCACGCAGGCG
rnacentral:rRNA from 1 species